rnacentral:rRNA from 1 species
CCUACGGGAGGCAGCAGUGGGGAGUAUUGCACAAUGGGGGAAACCCUGAUGCAGCGACGCCGCGUGAGCGAAGAAGUAUUUCGGUAUGUAAAGCUCUAUCAGCAGGGAAGAAAAAUGACGGUACCUGAGUAAGAAGCACCGGCUAAAUACGUGCCAGCAGCCGCGGUAAUACGUAUGGUGCAAGCGUUAUCCGGAUUUACUGGGUGUAAAGGGUGCGUAGGUGGCAGGGCAAGUCAGAUGUGAAAGCCCGGGGCUCAACCCCGGUACUGCAUUUGAAACUGUCCAGCUGGAGUGCAGGAGAGGUA